rnacentral:rRNA from 1 species
GCCCCUAGACCCCUAUUAGAGGUGACGCCUGCCCGAUGGUUUAUCCUAAGUUAAUUAACAUUAACGAACCUGAACUCAAUGGCCGCGGUAUUUCUGACCGUGAUAAUGUAGCGAAAUCAAUCGUCACUUAAUUGCUGACCUGUAUCAAAGGUAUUACGAAUGUUCCCCUGUCUCAAGAAAAAUCCCUGUGAAAUUGAAGGGGCCGUGCAUAUGCGGCCUAUUUUCCUGUAAGACGAAAAGACCCUAUUGAGCUUUACUAUAACCUUUCCUCAAAACACUAAGAAAAUGAGUAGCCCUCUAAUCUUAGUACUAGGAAAGGCUGGUAGUUUCGUUGGGGCGACGACCUUUCAAAAAGUAACAAAGGUUAGCGAUGGUUUUCUAUUUAAUGAAUCUUAGCCUGACUGUUUGGCUUAUAAGCCUACCAGACACUUUCGUGAGCCAUAAUUUUCCAUUUUAGGGGCAACCCUAAAAUGCCAUAAUAUAAAAGUUACCAUAGGGAUAACAGCGUAAUUUUGUCGAAGAGCUCUUAUCGAUGACAAAGAUUGCGACCUCGAUGUUGAAUUGUGGUAUCCUGGGGGUGUAGCCGCUCCCAAGGGUUGGUCUGUUCGACCAUUAAAAC